UGGGCAACCUGCCCCAGACACAGGGAUAACCCCGGGAAAACCGGGGCUAAUACCGGAUACUCCGGCCGAGCCGCAUGACUCGAUCGGGAAAGCUCCGACGGUCUGGGAUGGGCCCGCGGCCUAUCAGCUUGUUGGUGGGGUAACGGCCUACCAAGGCGACGACGGGUAGCUGGUCUGAGAGGACGACCAGCCACACUGGAACUGAGAUACGGUCCAGACUCCGUACGGNNG
rnacentral:rRNA from 1 species